rnacentral:tRNA from 1 species
GCCUUCGAUGUGUAGUGGUCAGCACACUCGGCGCGUAUUCUAGAGGUCCGCGGUUCGAGUCCCAGCGAGGGCA